rnacentral:rRNA from 1 species
UACAGAGGGGGCAAGCGUUGUUCGGAAUUACUGGGCGUAAAGGGCGCGUAGGCGGCCUGCUAAGUCGAACGUGAAAUCCCCGGGCUCAGCCCGGGAACUGCGUCCGAGACUGGCGGGCUCGAAUUCGGGAGAGGGAUGCGGAAUUCCAGGUGUAGCGGUGAAAUGCGUAGAUAUCGGGAGGAAGGCCGGUGGCGAAGGCGGCGCUCUGGAACAUUUCUGACGCUGAGGCUCGAAAGCGUGGGGAGCAAACAGG